CCCGAGAUUGGGGGGAUUCGUGCAUUUUUACCAGUGAUUUCGGCUGUCAUAGCAGUGUAAUUGUUUCAUAAUACGUACAUCAUUUACACCAACCAAGACCAAGUUCCACUAGUUGAAACGUUGGUGGGAAGGAUAAAUCUUGCAUAUAUAUAUAUGUGUGUGUAUAUAUAACCAGUGCAGGACUGGCGAACGGAGACCGGAUUCUUGCAUCCAAGGCGAAACCUGGAUGAACAUAUCCAUUGAUCUCGGGUGGAUUUUGACGGUCUAGCAACUGAAAUAAAGAGACCUUGGCAUCUGUACAUAAACUGGUAUAAGCCGCACCACUGGCAGACGAGGGGAUUCGUGCCUCUCGCCUCCGCUUCGUCAGUGCGCAUGGAUGAAAGUCACUGUUGAAAUACAUGCAGCAAGUCUUGUCUGAUGUGGAUUACCGCGUUUUUAUGCGCCCCCUUAUCUUUGCCAUGUUCGAACUUUGGUUUUGGCUCCUUUUUCGAGAUGACACUGCUCAUUUCAGUGGCUUCUGGAACAUUAUCGGAACACGUUUUUCCGCGCUGGCUCUCACGUUACUGGCUUGAAUGACACUACAUAUGUGCUCCUCGAUGCCUGGUUUAUGGAGCUAAACACCGAGGAGACUUGACUUGAAGGAUUUUUUUCACAGUCGACGGAAGGGCGGACGGUGAAAUCACGAAAUCCAUGUUUUCACUGAGGUUGGAGAAAAAAGAAGGGGCACAGCCGUGAUUGUCGGGAUGCUUUGGCGUUUACCGGGAUCAGCACGAUGACACCUCAUACUGAUACUGCACUUGAGUGAGCUGGGGCAUCCUCUCCCAGGAAAAAUGCAUAUCUGGGUCCUAAAAAUAAUCCUUCUGAUUGCAUCAUCUCUGAGGCUGGUAGAGAUGUAUGACAAUUAUGGGGAGAUCUGUCGAAACCUGUGUACAUGUGAGGAGAAGGAAGGGAUCCUGAUGGUGAGCUGCGAGAACCGGGGGAUCAUCAGAAUGACAGAGCUCAGCCCGGUCCAUUUCCCCGUGUACCACCUCCUGCUGACAGGGAACCUCCUGAAGAGGCUGUCACUCAAUGAUUUCAUCAAUUACACCGGGGUGAACAUCCUGCACUUGGGAAACAAUGAUAUCUCAGAGAUAGAGUCAGGUGCCUUCAACGGACUCCAGGGAUUAAAAAGGUUACACCUGAAUAACAACAAGAUUGAGGUUCUGAGGGAUGACACCUUUGCAGGACUGGAGAGUUUGGAAUACCUACAGAUUGAUUAUAAUUAUAUCACCAAUAUAGAGCCAAAUGCACUGAGCAAACUGCACCAGCUAACAGUGAUGAUACUGAACGACAACUUACUUUCUGCCCUGCCUCCAAAUAUCUUCCGGAAUGUGCCCCUUACACACUUGGACCUGAGGGGGAAUCGGUUAAAAAUGUUCCCCUACAUCGGCCUCCUGGAGCACAUGGAUAAAGUUGUGGAACUACAACUGGAGGAGAAUCCGUGGAAUUGUUCCUGUGAGCUCAUUGCUUUGAAGGCUUGGCUGGAGAGUAUAGCAUAUACAGCUCUGGUGGGAGAAGUGGUGUGUGAGACACCGUUUAGGCUCCACGGUAGGGAUCUGGAUGAGGUGUCCAAACAAGAACUCUGUCCAAGAAGACCCCUAGAAGACACAAUCAGGCCUGCACCCCCUAGCAGCACCAAUGGAUACUACCAGACUACACCUGCAGCUGUCACAGCCUCUGCCACCUCCUCAGCUGUUCUUAGGUCCUCUUCUCGGCCUACCAAGGGCACACGGCAGUUUAACAGAACUAGGUUAAAGCCCACUUCUCGUAUACCAGGUGGUAACCCUUACAACUAUGGCCCCAUCAUCGCUUUUCAGACCAAAUCUCCUGUGCCUUUGGACUGCCCCACUGCCUGCACAUGUAAUCUGCAGAUAUCUGAAAUUGGGCUGAAUGUCAACUGCCAAGAGAGAAAGAUUGAGAGCAUUUCUGAUCUAAAACCCAAGCCAUACAAUCCUAAAAAAAUGUAUCUCACUGGAAAUUACAUCCCUGUGGUACGGAGAUCAGAUUUUGUUGAUGCCACUGGAUUGGAUUUGCUUCAUCUGGGAAACAACAGGAUAACUUUGAUCCAUGAUCGGGCUUUUGGGGAUUUAACCAAUUUACGUAGGCUGUAUUUAAAUGGUAAUCUCAUGGACAGGCUUUCAGGAGAAAUGUUUUUUGGUUUGCAGAACUUGCAGUAUCUUUAUUUAGAGUACAACAAAAUUAAGGAGGUUGAUGCGGGCACUUUCCGCUAUCUCCCUAAUCUCCAGCUGCUUUUCCUUAACAAUAACCUCCUUAAAACUUUACCUGUGGGCAUCUUUUCCAGCCUUUCUCUGUCUAGGCUUAAUCUGCGCAAUAACCAUUUCCAAAAUCUGCCUGUGAGUGGUGUUUUAGAUCAGCUGAAGCUGUUGGUGCAGAUCGAUCUGUUUGAAAACCCCUGGGACUGCUCCUGCGACAUAGUGGGGAUGAAGAUAUGGCUGGAGCAGCUCAGUGCAGGCACUGUGGUUAACGAGGUUGUGUGUGAGACACCUAAACGCCACACAGGGAUGGACCUGCGCACCAUCCAGUCAGAGCAGCUUUGCCCAGACUACUCUGAUGCCUAUGUCUCACCAACUCCCCCCACAGACGAGCCCAUGGAUGAUCGGGUUGUCACCACAGAGGCUCCACAGAAGUUAAACACCCCCAGCAGCACUGUCCCUCUCUCUGUCCUCAUCCUCAGCCUCCUGCUUGUUUUCAUCAUGUCCGUCUUUGUGGCCGCAGGGCUGUUUGUUGUAGUGAUGAAAAAGCGUAAAAAGUCACAGAGUGACCGCACUAGCACCAACAAUUCAGACGUUAGCUCUUUUAACUUGCAGUACAGCCUGUACAGCAACCGCUCUGGGCCUAAAGUGAAGGCCCCAGCCGGACACGUCUAUGAGUACAUUCCACACCCUAUGGGUCAUAUGUGCAAAAACCCCAUUUACAGGUCACGAGAAGGAAACACAGUGGAGGAUUACCGUGACCUCCAUGAGCUCAAGGUCACAUACAGGAGCACCCCGGGUGAGGAGAGGGAUAGCAGUACGAUGAGGAGCCCAGCGUACAGCGUUAGCACCAUCGAGCCACGUGAAAACCCUUCCCCUGUGCAGGACGCAGAUCAUUUCUUCAGAGGCAUCCUUGAGCCUGAUAAGCAGUCCCCACAUCAGUCCAUCCCAGCCAUCCCCGCAGGUGCCAAUUUAGAGUACAAGUAUACAGGGCCUGUUUCAUACACAUACAACCCAAAUUUUGAUGUCAGACGUCAGUUCUUGCACCCAGAGAGGAUAAGAGAAACAGUGCUCUAUGGCACAGCACCCAGUACUGUUUAUGUUGAGCCCAACAGAAAUGAAUAUUUGGAACUAAAAGCUAAACUGCAGUCUGAGCCUGAUUACCUCGAAGUUCUUGAGAAACAGACCACCUUUAGCCAGUUCUGAGCAACAUAAUCAUUACUGUAAUGAAGCAAUUUCUCUCUUGACCCUCCUGCUUGAAACAGUGACUCAGUUUAUAGGGUGCCUUGGCACAAUACAAACACGCGAACGCGAAGGAGUUAAAACGGGGUGUGCCGAACAAUCUUAUUCUUAUUUCUGAAACAUGACAUUACAGGAAUGGAUACAGCUUUCUGAAACAUGGAAGAACAGAAUGGCUCUACUUAACUGAUGAUGCAAAAUCUAUUUUUCUAUACUGAAGAUGGAGUAACACACAAAAUUGACAAAUCGAAGGGGUGGACAUUUCCCAUAUGCUCAUGUGGUGCUCCACCUAACCCCCGUUGGUGAUUCCUGGUCCCCGGCACAGCCUCUCUGCCUGCUUGCCACCCAGUCUCCAUGAUGAUGUGAGCAAUUGAGUUCAAGGAGAUCUGGGUAAUUGAGAGGGCAGGGAUGGCAUCUGACAGGCACCGAUGACUCCAAUGAUUACUUUAAUCAGAAUGGUUAAUGGAAUUCCUUCAGGCAUGUAAAAAUGCUCAAAUGUUCAUCAGCACUGAACUGGUUUUUGCCCCCCCCAGCUCCUCUCCAACACCUCCUCUCCUACUUCACGUCACGUAGAGUAAUUACUGAUCAGUUUGCUUUCCUUUUUAUGCUUUCAGUGUCUGUAUGGAAUCUGGAGAUGUGUUUGCUCCUGUGGACUUAUGUAAACCCAAAGUGGGAAUCAUUAUGUGAUGGCAGUGGCUUUAUUAUGCUCAACAUGCAUUAUAGUGCUCAUGAAGUGUUUUCUUAUGUAAAAUGUCAUGGCAGAUCUGGCAACAUGUAAAGGGCUUGUCAAGGACUCAGUCAGAGUGAAAUCAUUCAUUAAUAAAUGGCAAGGACUAUAGCUUAAUGUAUAAUGUAGGUGGUUUGAAUCAACAGCAAGAAAAACACUAAAUUUGUUGUUUAGCUCUUAUUUAUCUAAGAGGAUGAUCAUCGCCUUUGCAGCCGAUACCUUCUGCAGCCCUAAUAUGUGUUCCAUCAUACAUUCCACAACUUUUCUAUUUAUUAUCAGCUGUGAACAUUGUGGGUUAAUCAGCCUCAUAGUUAACACUCCCACUGUCCAGGCUGCUGAAUUAACCUCUAGAAAAAAUUCUUUUGCAUUUAAAACUGCUGUCUGGAUCCAGACUUUUAUACCAUCUGCCAAAAGAAAAACACCGGCCUACUUGUUAAAUUCUGUUCAUUUAAUUGGUCUGAAGAGGGUUUCCUUUUGUUAUACACAUGUUUACAGUACAUGUCAACAAAAUGUGAUUUUGAAUUAAUUUGUUGCUUCUUCUUCCGUGUCUGGGUAUAUGUUGUUUGUAAAGGACAAAGAAGGAUUUACCUUCUGAGUGUGGUAUGAUCAAACAUAUAUGCAGUAUGUCUAAAAGCAGCAUUAUCUGAAAUCAUUUUACCUUCAGUAUUUUUUUUUUAUUUGGUUCCGGUUGUUUUAUUAACAGAAUAUGCACUUUGGGCUAAAAUAAGAUAAGAACCAAAUUGUUACAAAUGUGUUGUGAUACUUAUCAUUUUGAUCAUUAAUUAUAUCUAAAGUGCUCUGUAUGCAUUUAGAUAUGUGUGCCGCAUACCACCACAUAUAAUGCAUGUUAUUAUGUGAUAAAAUAGAUUAUCUUUGAUUUACAAGUCUAGAUUAGACUUGCUAUCCUGCCCCCAGCAUUAGCAAGGUUUUUUCUGCCUCCUGGUCCAAUCUGUAUGGUAGAUAAUUAAGUUGAUAUGGAGGUGGAAACCCUGAAUACAAAAUGGAAACCAAUUACCCUGUGAUCAAUGGAUGCCAUAUGUACAGUACUCUAUUUACAGUACCUGUAUUGUUUUCAUUUUGUUUAUAAAAUCGGGAUAAGCUGAUGUGUGCACACAGUUGGAUACACACCAGGAGAUAUAUGUGAUCAGAGCUUUGACUGAGGUAUCUCUAAGUCAGCCUCUGUGUGCACAUGGAGGAAGAGAGAUGCUCCGUGUGUUUCAUGUUUUAUUUAGUUGUCUUUUGUCAAUGUUUUGUUUUCUGUUUACAGCACACUUUUUUCCUCCUUCAUCAUAUACCACACUCUCCUUUUCUGUUCCCACUGGGAAGCCUGGUUGUAUUCAUCAGGCCUCCGGUUUUGUUUGUUUGUUUAUGGCAGGGGCACCCAUUGAUCCGGAGCCACAGCAGCCCUGUCAUUUGAUAAAUGGCAACCACUGCAUUGCUGACUCCCCAGCCGAGCUUGGUGACGCCCAGCCAAAAAAACACAAAAAAACAAACAAAAACAAAAAAAAACAGGUUGAUGUAUGGCUUCCUUCAGAGUGUCAAGUCCUGUCCAGGCACAUUGCUCCGGUGUAUAAUCUGUGUGUGUUUGGACUGCUGUCAUUGCUUCACUACCUCAUGUACAUCAUCAGAUUGUGGAGUGAAAGACAGAAUAUAAAUAAAUCUGUGGAUGGUGUUUGAAAUGUAUGUUUAGCAGAUUAUUGUCAGGAAAUUUUGUUGCAAGUGACAGCUGUGCAGGGAAAAAAUCGAUUCUUGAGAUGUCAUUGUCAGGAUUUUGGACAUAUUUUUCCUUCCUUUUUGAGAUGUUUCAUAGUUUAAAGGGGUAUUCUAGUAAUUUUAGCAUUUACCUUAGGUUGGGGGAGUUGUGAGAGAAAGAUUAUGAAUGGUCAAAAUUGAGGCACAGGUAUGAUUUGGUCAGCAACUUAGUAACAUUUUUCAGACCUUGCCUAGUAAAUAUAAUGUAUUUCCAUGCACACGGACUUUCUUUGUAGUCAAGUCUACUGAUCUGUUAUUUCAGCUGCAUGUCUUAUGUAUAUUUUUAUACGCUGACUGGCCACUUUAAUAGGCACAUCUGUACAAUUUUCAGAGAGUCUCUAUAUUUUUGUCCUACCAGCUAUAUACAUGAGAGGAUCAGAAUAUUAGGAACACCUCUGAAUAUAAUAUAGUCCAGUACAACAUGGC